rnacentral:misc_RNA from 1 species
CGAAUUCAACAUCCUCUUCAAACAUAGAAGGAACAGCAGCUUCUUUAUGACUAGACUCAGAUCCGGGUGAUCUUUUGCUGGAAUCUGGAGAGGUCGAGACCCCAUUUUGAAUAGAUUCUUCACUACCACCAAAAGUAAAACUUACCACAGGAGUUGCUACCUCCACUGAAUUCGCCAGAUGGCCACUAGACUUACUGGGAUCUUCAAAUGGGUUCACAUUAGAUCUACCAACUUGAAAGUCUGAAGCAUUGCCCCAUGCUGCCCAUUCAGGCAUAGGCCUGUCUCCAAAGGGGUCGUCAUUGUCUGUUGUCUCAAAGUGAAAGAAAGCCAUGUCAUCUGACGGACCUGCUUUGUGAUUUUGUUGAUUGAAACUGACAUCAUUAACAGAAUUCGAUCCAAUAAAGGCAUUUGCACUAGAAGUGGGUGUUCCAUCUGUAGAGUUUCUACUCUCGGCCAAUCCAUCCUCCUCUCCAACUACCACCUCCUCAUCACUAUUGCUAUUCCCGCCGUUUGAUGUUCCAUUAAGGUUGAUCUCUUCCAUUGCCUCUGUAGAUGAGGUGUUCACAGGUGCAUCACCAAGUCUAUCAUCUUGAAAAGCAAACCAGUUUGAGUUUGUGAACAAACUGCUCCCCUGAUCAUCUCCCAAUCGG